rnacentral:rRNA from 1 species
UUCGCAAUGCCCGAAAGGGUGACGAAGCGACGCCGCGUGAGCGAAGAAGGCCCUAGGGUUGUAAAGCUCUGUCGGGGGUUAUGAAGUGUAGAUCGGUUAAUACCCGGUUUGUUUGACAAAGGCCCUAAAGGAAGCCACGGCUAACUCUGUGCCAGCAGCCGCGGUAAUACAGAGGUGGCAAGCGUUGUUCGGUAUUAUUGGGCGUAAAGAGCACGUAGGUGGUUUUGUAAGUCAGAUGUGAAAGCCUUCUGUUCAAAGGAAGAACGGCAUCUGAAACUGCAGAUCUUGAGUGUAGGAGGGGAGAGUGGAACUUCUGGUGGAGCGGUGAAAUGCGUAGAUAUCAGAAGGAACGUCGGCGGCGAAAGCGACUCUCUGGCCUAUUACUGACACUAAGUGUGCAAAAGUUAGGGGAGCAAACGGGAUUAGAUACCCCGGUAGUCCUAACUGUAAACGAUGGGCACUAAGUAGAGGGGUUUU